rnacentral:misc_RNA from 1 species
GAUGAAGAACGCAGCGAAAUGCGAUAAGUAAUGUGAAUUGCAGAAUUCAGUGAAUCAUCGAAUCUUUGAACGCACCUUGCGCUCCUUGGUAUUCCGAGGAGCAUGCCUGUUUGAGUGUCAUUAAUAUUAUCAACCUUUUUGGUUGGAUGUGGGUUUGCUGGACUCCUUGAGAUCGGCUCUCCUUAAAUGCAUUAGCGGACAACAUUUUGCCAACCGUUUAUUGGUGUGAUAAUUAUCUACGCUAUUGACGUGAAGCAAGGUUCAGCUUCUAACAGUCCAUUGACUUGGACAAGUCUCUUUUUAUUAAUGUGACCUCAAAUCAGGUAGGACUACCCGCUGAACUUAAGCAUAUCAAUAAGCGGAGGA